rnacentral:lncRNA from 1 species
AAAAAAAAAAAAAAUAAUAAAUAGGAGCCUGUAUCAUACAGGGAAUGGUAGUCUGCCACGGAUUCAAAGGAGGAAAUAUUGGAUUGCACAGAGAAGCGAUGACAGAAAUCCUUUAAGACACUGUGUUUUUAAUACAACCAAAUCCCGAUGAAAAAAAAAAAAAAAAAAUGGUUAAAUGAUGAUGAACCAAACAGUGUGGUGGAUAAGUUAAAAAAAAAAAAAAAAUUGUGUAUGUCUAUCAUACUGGGGGUUGAUUUGACGCAGGCUACGAAUGCAUAUAAAUUAAUACUGGAAGUGGUCUUCAGCAACACCAGCAGAAAGGUAGCUGAAGAACCGUUUAGAAGUGAUUUAUGGGAAGAGGCGAUGUGGAACUGCAGCGGACACCUACCUAUAAAUCUCACAGAACUAAGAAAGGAAGCAAAGAUGAGGCCCUCUGCAUUCUUUGAAGCCUGGGAAUGGAGUCAAUUAGCAGGUUUAUUACUGGGACAGAAUGAAGGCUGGAAUAGUUUUGAUUCGGCUGUAAUGGGAGUCUUAGUGAUUCCGCACCUGAUAGCAAUCCCUAGGGAGGAUGGGUCGGUGUUACAUAAAUUUUUGGCUUAUCCAUUGCCUCCCGAAGACCAUGACGGUUUGGAAUUUUUUAAUGAGAGGAACACCUUUGAUUGGAAAGGAAAAAUAGAAGUUAAGAAGGAUUUGGGGAGUUUCUCUGAUGAGAUCAGGGUAGAAAAUAUGACAGAAUGGGGAGAAGCAAGGAAGGAGUUUUUGCCAGAAGAGAUGCGCAUAUUAAUAGAGGACAUGCAUAUACGUUGGCAGAUGCAGUUCUUUUAUUCGUACCUGACAAAAACUACUUUUGGAAAGAGACAAGAGUGGAUGGAUGUGAUGAAAAUGUAUAAGGCAUACAAAGCAUUUUUACAAAGAAUAGAAUAUGAGAAUACAGAGAGUACAGGUGAAAUCUGGAUUAAACCUUGGGCAGAAAAAUUAGCUGCAAAAAAAUAUACAUUAACAAAUGAAGAUAGGAAAAUCCGCCAUCUACUCCCAGACUUUUUGCACACAAUUAAAAAGCAUCACAAACACCAGGGUGAAUGGAAUUGGCAAGACUUCAUACAGUCACCGUUCCCCUAUCAAAUGACUUUCCUCUAUACCACCGAGAGAUCAUUAUUCCUCACGGCACCCAUAAAUGAUUGGAACGGCGAAAAGGAUAAUGAGACAAUAUUUAAGAAAUGGUUGCCACUAACUCCUGAUGCUCAAUGGCAUCAGCUUCGCUGGUCUCACGAAGAUGAAUCAUGGAAUCUGACGAUUACAGAGGCGGCAGGUGCGAGAAUAAUUGGAAAGAAACCAGUAAUAAAGAAUGGUGAG